rnacentral:rRNA from 1 species
GACGAACGCUGGCGGCGUGCCUAACACAUGCAAGUCGAGCGGGGUCCAUCCAGUGGCAACACUGGUGAAGACCUAGCGGCGAACGGGUGAGUAACACGUGAGAAACCUGCCCUGAAGUCUGGGAUAACCCGAGGAAACUCGAGCUAAUACCGGAUGCCCCCACCGAGUCGCACGGCUUGGUGAGGAAAGAUUUAUCGCUUCAGGAGGGUCUCGCGGCCUAUCAGCUAGUUGGCGGGGUAACGGCCCACCAAGGCAUCGACGGGUAGCUGGUCUGAGAGGACGAUCAGCCACCCUGGGACUGGGACACGGCCCAGACUCCUACGGGAGGCAGCAGUGGGGAAGAUUGCGCAAUGGGCGAAAGCCUGACGCAGCAACGCCGCGUGCGGGAUGACGGACUUCGGGUUGUAAACCGCUUUCAGCAGGGAUGAAACUGACAGUACCUGCAGAAGAAGCCCCGGCUAACUACGUGCCAGCCGCCGCGGUAAAAC